rnacentral:snRNA from 1 species
AUACUUAACUGGUGCCAGGGCCUCGUUGAUCCUGAGGAUGAGCCCUAGGGUGAGGCGCGGGCAUUGCACUGCGCUCGCGUCGACCGCUGCCACAACCCUAAACUGGGGCAGAUGGAGCAUGCC